AUUGAACGCUGGCGGCAGGCCUAACACAUGCAAGUCGAGCGGCAGCACGGGUACUUGUACCUGGUGGCGAGCGGCGGACGGGUGAGUAAUGCCUAGGAAUCUGCCUGGUAGCGGGGGAUAACGCUCGGAAACGGACGCUAAUACCGCAUACGUCCUACGGGAGAAAGCAGGGGACCUUCGGGCCUUGCGCUAUCAGAUGAGCCUAGGUCGGAUUAGCUAGUUGGUGAGGUAAUGGCUCACCAAGGCGACGAUCCGUAACUGGCCUGAGAGGAUGAUCAGUCACACUGGAACUGAGACACGGUCCAGACUCCUACGGGAGGCAGCAGUGGGGAAUAUUGGACAAUGGGCGAAAGCCUGAUCCAGCCAUGCCGCGUGUGUGAAGAAGGUCUUCGGAUUGUAAAGCACUUUAAGUUGGGAGGAAGGGCAGUUACCUAAUACGUAUCUGUUUUGACGUACCGA
rnacentral:rRNA from 1 species